AGCUCCCUAGUGUAGUGGCCAAUCAUCUCAGGUUCUGGUCCUGAGGACCUCGGUUCAAAUCCGGGGGGAGCUA
rnacentral:tRNA from 1 species